ensembl:misc_RNA predicted gene, 25883
GGAUGUAAGGACAAUAUGGAUUUGGCACUUCACCCCACCCUCCACAGGGUUACCUGGAUGGUUAGACAGGCAUGUCCUUCCUCACCAUCCCAUGCACAUCCCUUCCUAAACUAAAUAUCCAGUUGAAGAGGACAGCCUUCCCUGAUUGAGGAAGACCAUUCCUCAGCCAAGGACAUAUAAAUAGCUGUGCUCCCUGCUAGAACUGCCAAACAAACUCCUUAACCUCUGAAGGCUCUGCUCCUGAAGCUGGCCAGGACUCAGCUAACCCUUU